CCCCCCCCCAUUCUUUCCAUCUGCUGUCAUAUUAUUACAAACAAUGGGAUUAUAUUCUCUGAGGUCCAUCAGAGACACGGAUUAAAAACAUUUAUCAUCCAUCCAUCCAUUGUCUAAAAGCAACAUUAAAAGGCAGCAUUAGUGUAUUGGGAGUCAUGAGUCUUCACACAGCUGAACCAAUGGCUGCUCCUCAUCCCAGCGGAAGUAUGUCGUUGACAGACAUCAGCGUCGUCCAACCAGGCGCCAGAAUUUAGAUUUAGGGCGGGCUCCUAAUGCGGAGGUGGGAAUUUAGCUACCGUCCAUCUUCAGCUAUAUUACACUGAGCGAGCUAGUCGGAAAGAAAACACAUUUUGGAAGUAAAGAAGACUUUCUGGAAUAAGUUUUGGCUGUUAUUGAAAAAAGAAAAACGAAAGCCCAUAUCAUAGCUAACUUUGUGACAGACGGAAUGUGGACAUCGUCGUAGUCAGAGCCAUGGCUGACAAGAGAAAACUUCAAGGUGAGAUUGACAGAUGUUUGAAAAAAGUAGCUGAAGGUGUAGAACAGUUUGAAGAUAUUUGGCAAAAGCUUCACAAUGCAGCCAACGCAAACCAGAAGGAAAAAUACGAGGCUGACCUCAAGAAAGAGAUUAAAAAGUUACAGCGAUUGAGAGACCAGAUUAAAACAUGGGUCGCCUCCAACGAGAUCAAAGACAAACGGCAGCUCGUGGAGAACCGCAAGCUUAUUGAGACGCAAAUGGAGCGGUUCAAAGUGGUGGAGCGGGAAACAAAAACAAAGGCCUACUCCAAAGAAGGCUUGGGACUGGCUCAAAAAGUAGAUCCAGCUCAGAGGGAAAAGGAGGAGACGGGCCAAUGGUUAACGAAUACGAUAGACACUCUAAACAUGCAGGUUGAUCAGUUUGAAAGUGAGGUGGAGUCCCUUUCGGUUCAAACACGAAAGAAGAAGGGUGAUAAAGAGAAGCAGGAUCGCAUCGACGAGCUCAAGCGCUUGAUCGAGAGACAUCGAUUCCAUAUCCGCAUGUUGGAGACCAUUUUACGCAUGCUGGACAACGACUCGGUGCCAGUGGACGCCAUACAGAAGAUCAAAGACGACGUGGAGUACUACAUAGAUUCUUCUCAAGACCCGGAUUUUGAAGAGAACGAGUUCCUGUAUGAUGACUUAGACCUGGAAGACAUCCCUGCUGCGUUAGUGGCAACCUCCCCAUCAGGUCAAGGCAACGUGGAAGAUGAGAUGUAUCUCCACUCGAGCAGCACUCCCACGUCCACCACCUCCUCAUCGCCCAUCCCUCCAUCGCCGGCCACUUGCGCUGCUGAGAACUCAGAGGACGAUAAGAAAAGGGGACGGUCGACAGACAGUGAAGUUAGUCAGUCGCCGGUGAAAAACGGCACACCCUCCCUGCUGUCCUCCUUCUCUUCUUCCACCACCUCUGGCUCCUCCUCGUCCUCAUCCCUCGUGUCCAUGGCGAGCGUCGUCGGAGGUGUCCCGGUGGUUCCGACAAGCAGCGGCCUCAUAGGAAGCUUCAGCAGCGCCGUGCAACAGCAUCAGCAUCCGCCUGCACAGCAGCAACAGCAGCAGCAACCUCAACCACAGAGCCAGUCGCAGCAGCCGCCGCCUCUGUCGAAACCCUCAGCAUCUUCAAACAGUGCCCCCAGUCCGCCCAACAACUCUCUGCUGCCAGCAUCCACUGCCCCGCCUCUGCCUACGCCCACCACGCCCAUUUCAUCAGCUGCCAAUUCCCUGUCUCAAGCCACGUCUGGGUCUAGCCCUGGGUCCAGUUUGGGACUUGGGCUGGGAUUGGGUUUAGGCAAAGGUGGCCAUACGGGGACUAGCAGUGCCAACCAGAUGUCGGGUUUGGGCCUGGGCGGGCACCCCACCACCCUAAGCACGAUGGCCGGGCUCAUUUCAGGGUCUACGCCUGCCCCUUACGCACAAGCAGCGGCGUCGGGCGGCUUGGGUCUGAGUAGCACCACGCCGUCCAGCAUUUCAGUGGAGAGCAGCACUUCCAUCACCACCUCUGGCUCCAGUGGAGUCACCACCAACGGGGCGGCGACGGGGCUCGGCCUGCUGGGCUCCAGUCCUGCUCACAGUUCGCUGAGCAGCAGUAUUUUGGGUUUGGUUUCUGGUCAAAACGCAUCCUCCGCCGCCUCUCAGGUGCCCCCCAGUUCUGUCGGCGCUUCUCCUGGAGUGGUCGGCAUGAUGGGAGGGAACGGCGGUAGCCUGGGGAUGGUGGGAGGUGUGGGUGCCGCACCUGCCCGACCUCCCAGUGGACUCAAGCAAAAUGGAAGCACAAGUUACAGUGCUGUGGUGGCGGAAAACUCCACAGAAUCCGCUCUCAGCACACCCAGCCAGUCUCAAAGCAGCCAGCCCUCAUCUCUCAGCUCCUCCACCAGUCAGCCGUUAGACAACGGCCCCAGUUUAAUCAGCUCCAUCACCUUGCCCCCCAGCUCCCCGUCGCCUUCCUUCUCGGACAGCACACCCGGCGGAGGGAGCCUCCUCAAUGGGCCCCACUCCUACACGCAGGCCUCCGAGGGCCUCAAGGCUCCUGAACCUCUCAUUUCCUUGAAGGCCAUGGCUGAGCGGGCGGCCCUCGGCUCAGGACUGGAUGGUGAGAUUCCCAACCUGCACCUGACAGAGCGAGACAUCUUCUCGUCAUCGACGGCGCCCGGCACGCCUGCCGUCCCGCAGCCGUCCGUGUCGGAGGUCAGCAUCCCGCCUUCGCUGGGCGUCUGCCCGCUCGGCCCAACCCCCCUCCCCAAAGACCAGCUGUACCAGCAGGCCAUGCAGGAGUCGGCGUGGACGCACAUGCCGCACCCCUCCGACUCUGAGAGGAUCAGGCAAUACCUGAUGAGGAACCCAUGCCCCACCUUGCCCUUCCAUCACCAGAUGCCUCCUCACCACUCAGACUCCAUUGAGUUCUACCAGCGACUGUCCACUGAAACACUGUUCUUCAUCUUCUACUACCUGGAGGGCACCAAGGCACAGUAUCUGUCUGCCAAGGCGCUGAAGAAGCAGUCGUGGAGGUUUCACACCAAGUACAUGAUGUGGUUCCAGAGGCACGAGGAGCCCAAGACCAUCACGGACGAGUUUGAACAGACGCCAAAGAAGUCUUCCUCAUCAGAUGAAUUUGAAUAAACUCCAACGUUGUAUUGUAUUCUACAUCAUCUGCAACGUUUUAAUGGAAGCUUAGGGCACUUAUAUUUACUUCGACUAUGAGAAAUGGGGCCAGAGGAAGAAGGAGGGCUUCACCUUCGAGUACAGGUACCUGGAAGACCGAGACCUGCAGUGACCGCUCCCGGUGUGGGGCCGGCGAGGACACGGAGAGACAAAAACGUACUGCUGUCGACAUUCCGAGACUGAACUCCAAAAAAAAAAACUGUGGAUAGAGAUUGUGAUGUGUAGUAGAAAACCCUGUCCCCGACACGGAAGGCCGGCAUCUGUAUAGGCUCUCGUCUCAUAUCGAAGCCCUCCACGCUUAAGUAGUGCCGGGGGGAAAAAAAACGCUCUGUGGACUCACCCACUGACACCCCACCCCUCCUCCUACCCCCACCCGAGCUCUGCCUGAGCCGAGAGGGCUCUCGGGCGAGGCGUGCGUUUGUGCCUGUUUGUGUGCACACUCAGUAUGUGGCAUUAGGAAAAGCCGAACCCCCCCCCCAUGCAUGUUUCUCAUCUUUUUUCAUUCUCUGGUACCGCCCGACCAACGAGCCUGGAAGCCUUUCAAACACCUUCAUUGUUCAACUGCCCAUCUUGUAUUUACUGUCAUCCGCUGGUCUAGAACAGGGAGCUACAUCUCCAGCUUCUUCUAAGACCCUGUGCUGCCUGUUGAACGUGGUCACCAUUAGGACAUAGCGAGCGCUUAUCAAUGUUUGAUUGAUAUUUGUGGUGGUCCAUUCAACGCGCUUGAUGGAGAGUGACCACAGGGCCGCUCCCUGUGACAGGGAUAGCGUCCUUAUUGGACAUGGAUUAAAUUGCUAUGCAAUUGAA